GGGUUGUGAGGUUAAGCGACUAAGCGUACACGGUGGAUGCCCUGGCAGUCAGAGGCGAUGAAGGGCGUGCUAAUCUGCGAUAAGCGCCGGUAAGGUGAUAUGAACCGUUAUAACCGGCGAUACCCGAAUGGGGAAACCCAGUGUGAUUCGUCACACUAUCAUUAACUGAAUCCAUAGGUUAAUGAGGCGAACCGGGGGAACUGAAACAUCUAAGUACCCCGAGGAAAAGAAAUCAACCGAGAUUCCCCCAGUAGCGGCGAGCGAACGGGGAGGAGCCCAGAGCCUGAAUCAGCAUGUGUGUUAGUGGAAGCGUCUGGAAAGGCGCGCGAUACAGGGUGACAGCCCCGUACACAAAAGCGCAUGUGCUGUGAGCUCGAUGAGUAGGGCGGGACACGUGGUAUCCUGUCUGAAUAUGGGGGGACCAUCCUCCAAGGCUAAAUACUCCUGACUGACCGAUAGUGAACCAGUACCGUGAGGGAAAGGCGAAAAGAACCCCGGCGAGGGGAGUGAAAAAGAACCUGAAACCGUGUACGUACAAGCAGUGGGAGCCCCACCACUAAGCCAGUGGUGAACUCCACAUACGCAUCCUUUGCUGAGGAUACGGUUAACGGAGCGAAAGCGACGUUCAACCUCAAAAGAAGCAGAGGGGGCUUAGUGGUGGGGUGACUGCGUACCUUUUGUAUAAUGGGUCAGCGACUUAUAUUCUGUAGCAAGGUUAACCGAAUAGGGGAGCCGGAGG
rnacentral:rRNA from 2 species